AUUGCUUCUCUGCCUUUUGCCUGAGAUCAAGUGUAGUAUAUGUUCUUAUCAGUUUGUAACACCAUUGUGUUGUUUAUAGUGGCAAGAAAAAAAAAAAAGUCUGGUAAUGAAUAGUUACCUAAGUCUUAGUAAACCUAC
rnacentral:snRNA from 1 species